UAUAUUUGCAGUCAUUUUACAUAAAAAUAAUUGAAAUAAUAUUGGCAUG
rnacentral:ncRNA from 1 species